UACGGAGGGUGCAAGCGUUGUUCGGAAUUACUGGGCGUAAAGGGCGCGUAGGUGGCCAACUAAGUCGGACGUGAAAUCCCUCGGCUUAACCGGGGAACUGCGUCUGAUACUGGAUGGCUUGAGUUCGGGAGAGGGAUGCGGAAUUCCAGGUGUAGCGGUGAAAUGCGUAGAUAUCUGGAGGAACACCGGUGGCGAAGGCGGCAUCCUGGACCAACACUGACACUGAGGAGCGAAAGCCAGGGGAGCAAACGGG
rnacentral:rRNA from 1 species